UACGGGGGGGGCGAGCGUUGUUCGGAAUUACUGGGCGUAAAGGGUUUGUAGGUGGCCUGCUAAGUCAGACGUGAAAUCCCUCAGCUUAACUGGGGAACUGCGUCUGAUACUGGCGGGCUUGAGGACAGGAGAGGAACGCGGAAUUCCAGGUGUAGCGGUGAAAUGCGUAGAUAUCUGGAGGAACACCGGUGGCGAAGGCGGUGUUCUGGACUGCAACUGACACUGAGAGACGAAAGCCAGGGGAGCAAACGGG
rnacentral:rRNA from 1 species